rnacentral:rRNA from 1 species
UACGUAGGGUGCAAGCGUUGUCCGGAAUUAUUGGGCGUAAAGAGCUCGUAGGCGGUUUGUCGCGUCUGCUGUGAAAACCCGAGGCUCAACCUCGGGCCUGCAGUGGGUACGGGCAGACUAGAGUGCGGUAGGGGAGAUUGGAAUUCCUGGUGUAGCGGUGGAAUGCGCAGAUAUCAGGAGGAACACCAAUGACGAAGGCAGAUCUCUGGGCCGUAACUGACGCUGAGGAGCGAAAGCAUGGGGAGCGAACAGG